rnacentral:lncRNA from 1 species
UAAAAUUGAAUUUGGUAAAUGCAAUCAAUUUAAUGAAUCCCAUAAAUCACGGAAGGAAAAAAACUUAAAUCCUAGAAAUCUAAACUACCAACUUCUGUUUUCUCUAUAAAAACAAAACUCCAUUGUUGAAGCUUUCAAAAGCAACCCAAACUUCCUCACUGAUUACCGCCGCCGGUCAUGCGUUCUUCCAUAAUUGCAACCCAACAGGUUAGUUGCCGGCGCACUAGUUUUUGUGCUUGUUGUUUCGUCGAUGAUUGCCCAUCUAACACCACCAUCCUUUGCUUCUUCUCCAACGGAUUCAUCGUCGUGAGGAACCAGAUGUGCGAUUUGACGCAGUUCAUUUAUUCGGGCCAGCGAUCAUUGUACCACGGGAACAGGUUAGUCGCCGAUGCAAUUUCUUUUAUUUAUUUUUAUGUGUUUCGGGAACAGGUUGGUCGCCGAUGCAAUUUCUCGAAACUAUGCAGCCAAAAUUGUAAAUAUUACCCAAUUGACGUUUAUGUCUUUCAACUUUGAAUCUUCAGGACAUAUGAGAUCAGGCUUAGGCCGCCGACAUUGUAAACAUGAUUACUUCUAAGUACAAAAAAAACAUUUACAAGAAUUCGCGAUCGACACGCACGAAUAUGGACUUGCUCCUCAUCCUGCAUCCGCUCUUGAAUAUUGCAACUGUCCUUGUCGAAGAUAAAAACCGUUUCGACAUGGUCUACUUCAAUCCGUCGAUGGUGGAAUCGGACUUCCAUACGACAUCUUUCAAUCCCGAUGAGAAACUCUUGUAGAACUGUAAAAAAAGCAGAAUCCUUAUGAACAUCAUUCAACAUAUUAUUAGUACUUUCAAUCAGUAGUCAAGCUAGCUAGGUUCAUGUUUUG